rnacentral:lncRNA from 1 species
AGCCACAGGUCUUAACACUGCAAGGGUGAGAGAGCCAAGUUCAUUCCAUAUCUGCCCUGAGCGAUGGUCUGCAGAAGGUACUUCCGCAAGUAGGAAUUCUUGCCUUCCCCAUUCUAGAUGGGAAGCCAGAUUCCAAGAGGUUGAGUUACUUGCCCAAGUCAGAGACAUCCUGUCAGACCCUGGAUCUCUGGCUGCAAGGCCUGUGCUCUCUACAGCAUCCCUUUGGCCCUGGGGAAACAGAGUGGUCCUGUAGCAGCCCCCUAGCAGUCCCGCCAUCUGAAUAAACAGGCAUGUGAACACUUACAACAGGGGGUUACCACUGUGGCUCAGCGGGUUAUGGACCCAUUGUCACCUCCGUGAGGAUGCAGGUCCAAUCCCUGAUCUUUCUCAGGGAGUUAAGGAUCCAGCACUGCUGCAAGCUUUGGUGUAAGUGGCCAAUAUGGCUUGGAUCUGGUGUUGCCGUAGCUGUGGCGUAGGCUUGCGGCUGCAGCUCUAAUUCAACCCCUAUCCCAGGAAGUUCCAUAUGCCACAGGUGCAGCCAUAAAAAGAAAAAAACAUUAAUUACAAUAGUAAGUGAGGAGCGUGUGAGCAGCUGGGGGCGAAGCUGUGUGGGAGCCAGGCAGAGGGGGUGACUCAGCCUUCACAAGGAGCCAGAGAGGCGUAUGCUGGAGCAGUGGCCAAGGAUGAGCAGAGAUUGGCAAGGGAGGGGGGCAGGAAGGGCAUUCUGGGCAAAGGGGCAGCAGGCACUUGGGGCAGGGCUGAAAGGAAGGAGGUGGCACUACUUCAAUGCAUUUUUUUUUUUUUUGGUUCCUUAAACCAUUCCUGGGGGCAGCCCUUAGGUAGACAUCACUGCCUCCAUUCUAUAGAUUAAGGAACCAGGGCUCUAGAAGGGUGGGUGACUUGCCUAGAGAAGAAGAGGUACCGUGGAGCCAAGACCUGGGCCCUGGUCAGUCCUACUCCAGGGUCCAGCUCCUGCCCUCGGUCUGGAGAGAGCCGAGGUAUGUCUAGACGAUGAGAAACACGCUAUGGGGCCAGCACACGUGCACACAGGAGGUUCAGGUGAAUUUAGGGAGAGAAGGGCACCUGAUUCAACUAGCAAAGGCCUUAUGAGCUGAGCGAAGGGGCUGGGACUAUGCUGAGGUGCUGUGGCUUCUUUCCAGGCUGUGUUGCUCCGCAGGGCGGGCAGUUGUAUGGAGGCCGGCGGGAGAGGGAGCCCGCGUGGAGGCAGGGAGGUCUGUCUGAAGGCAGGUCUGGAGGUCCAGGAACAACGAGCUGUGCCUGACCUGAGGCUGUGGAAGCAGCAGGAGAAUGUGGUACCGCUUGGAGGUUGGAAAUGACGGCACAGCAGGAGUGGAGGCUAACUGGAAAGUUAAGGCUGGAGACAGUGGGUGGGUGGUGUUGACCAUUAAGAAGCCAGGGGCUCAAGGAGGAACAGUCGGUUCCAAGAAGAAAUGGCAGGGAGGGGGGAGACAAGGCCAAUUAAGCUAGAAGGAAGCUUUAGGCCAUCAAGGCUUUCUUAGGCAAGGCAUCAGAGGAAGCCAAGGAAUUGAGUAUAUGACCGUGAAUUAAAUAUAACUUCAGGAGUUUCCGUCAUGGCUCAGUGGUUAACAAAUCUGACUAGGAACCAUGAGGUUGUGGGUUCGAGCCCUGGCCUCAUUCAGUGGGUUAAGGAUCCGGCGUUGCCAUGGGCUGUGGUGUAGGUCCCAGACACAGCUCGGGUCCCACAUUGCUGUGGCUGUGGUAUAGGCUGGUGGCUACAGCUCCGAUUGGACCCCUAGCCUGGGAACCUCCAUACGCCAUCGGUGCAGCCCUAGAAAAGACAAAAAAGAAAAAAAAAUAUAUAUAUAUAUAACUUCAAUCCUUUCCCACCAAAGUAAACUAAAAAUAAAUAUUCUGGGGGUGUGAUGCUAGUCGGGGAAAUGAGGAUUCUCCAGGAAUCAAGCUUUCUCUCCCUGCUUCCUUCGCCUCUCAGGUUUCUGUCCCUGCUCCUCCUUGCAAAGCUGCAGGGUCUUUGAAACAUGAAAACCUGCAGACAGGCAGCCCCAGGCAGACACACAGACAAGGAGACCCCACAAUGAGGAGCUGGCCUGACCUCACGAGGGUUCUCUGACUUCCACCUGGAGGGCGAGAGGAGGCCAACACAGCUGGCUGGUCAUGUUCUCAGCGGCACAGGGACCUCAGUGUCUCUGGAAGUGUUUCUGAGUCUUCAGGGGUGGCCCAGGGCUGAAGAGAGGGGAUUGAUGAGGGAUCUAGAGGGUGGAGCCUUGGGAAAGAUGGGGAGGCCGGUGCCAGCUUUACCAGCCAAAUGGAAGUCAAGCCACCACGUGACUCAGAGACUUGCAGAGCGAAUGCCAAUGGCUUCUGUGUCUCCAUGCGUUGGGACCAUCAAUUAAUGAAACCACUGGGCCAGGAAUCAGGAAACCUGAUCAUAUUUCUGCCACAGACACUGACUCUGUGAUUUCCGAUGGAUCACUUUCUCUCCCUGAGCCUCUACCCCUCCCAGCUCUAAUGUUUUGUACAUCCGACUACAUGGACAAGAGAAACCCCAGACAUACUGAUGAAUUAGAGCAGGGGUUGGCAAACUUUUAUUGUAAAAGGCCAGGUUAUUAAUAUUUUCGGCUCCAUGGCCUCUAUAGUCUCUCACAAAUACUCAACUCUGCCUUUGUAGCAUCCAAACACCACAAACAGAACAUAAACCAACGGGCAUGACGGGUCCCAAAACAGCUUUAUUUACAAAAACCAUUGACCAUUGUUUGUUGACCUCUGACCCAGAGCAUUCUGGGCAUAGUGAACCUGGCCUCUGAUCUUCCAAUCAGGGCAAAGGGUAAGGGUGUCUCCAUCCUUUCGAGAGUCCAGCCGUCUUCAGAAGGGAAUCUUACAUUUAAUGAGCACCUGCCCUAUGCUGGGUAAGACUUCCCAUGUACCAUAAGCCUCCAUCAUCAUCAUUGUUAACAACAGCCUGUGUUAAUAACCCCUCCUACAGGUUAAAAAGAGGUGGCUCGUAAAGUUUAGGUAACUGUCCAGGGGUCUCAUGCCUUAGAGUAGAGCCAGGACAAAACUUCAAAGACUUUGAACGGCACGCCACCCUUCACUAAUCCCCCAAAGCAGAUGUCUCUUUGUUCGAAGGCUAUUCGCUGCCCCCCAGUCCCGCCCUCAAAGCAGUUUUCCCUACAUCCACCCAGAGCGGACAGAGAUCUGAGCAAUCAUUCUCCGCACUUUCCUUGCUUCCUCUGCAGAAUUUUCUUUCCCCACUUUUAAAUGUCAUGGAGCGUGAUGCUGACACAAUCAGACAGAAUCCCCAGUCCAGACAGCCCCACAGCCAGGGGAGACACAACUCCAGCACACACUCUCUGGGAUACAAUGGAAAAGUGCAAUUCACUUUAAAUAGAUUCCCAUAAAUAAGCAAUAAAACAGGAACAGCCAUUUGCAGUGAGCAUUUCCAAGGUUUGAUGAGCUAGGAGUUCGGACUAGGGGAGAAACAAAGAGCCUUUUUCAUUAUUUCCCCAUCCCUGCAAUUUUCUUUUACUGCCUGCCGACUUUGAAGGGGAAAAAACAAAUGCAGCUCCCUUAGGGAUGGAGCCUGUGCGCCCAUCACCACAGCAACCUGCCAAAUUCCAGGUCCCACUUGUGCAAGUGUCACUUUGAGAGCUGAGCCUCUGCCCUUCUGCCUCCAACCCUGCUGCUCCGACCCUGGCUGCGACACCUUGCCUUCUCCCUCUGCCAGCCUGUCCUAGGCUUUUGCCAUCAAGGUUCAAAUGUCUGGGGAGAUGAGGUGGACAGACAGGGUGCGAUCUGGGGAAGGGGCGAGGAGGAGGAGAUUGGGAUCUGAGUUUUAUCAAGAUGCAUCUAGAAGUGGAGGGGGUGCCAUCUGGGCUGGGCAUGGUUAGAAAUGUCUUUCCCUUUUUCUCUGACAUCAAACAUAACUUCAUCACUGGGAGAUGACCCUACCUCAAUUUAUAGGAAUGUGGAAAGCCACAGAGGCUGUGGACUGAUAAGAGUUUCCCCUUUGGGUGUGUGUGUGUGUGUGUGUGUGUGUGUGUGUGUGUGUGUGUGUGUGUGUGUGUGUGCACAUCUGCAUCCAUGCAAAAGGUGACAUAGACCUAUAAGUUCAGUCUGUUUGGAGUGAGUCCAAACACGUUCCCCGCCAUGAGUCCCAUGCUCCUCUAGCCUCCCCACAUAGUCUCUCUUUCUUUGUUGACUUUAAAGCAUCUUUCACAUCUCAAUGGGAAGUUUCCCACACUACAACAUCCCACAAUCCAUCCCACUUUUUUGACAACCUCCUGACUUUGCUCCUCACCUUGAAUCCCAGCCAUACUUAAAACCAAAGAAUUAGCUAUAACCAAGAUCUGGUUUUUCUACUAAUAUCAAGCCACUCUUUCCAUAUACUGAAACUUACUGCCCUUUUUAGGACUAUUUAGCGAGUGUGGAAUCCCAGCAGAGUGGCUGCUCACUGAUGCCAUCCUCCACAGCCAUGCUGCAGGCCUGUGUUAUAGAUGGGUCCCACAGUUUAGCAUUUGAUUUUACAUUAUCAUAUGUUGUUCUCAAGUUGUUUCAUAUGUGUUAGACUGUUAAGUGUGCUGAGACAAAAAAUACACACAUAGGCAUUACUCAGUCAUCCUCACAGUAACAGCUAGCUAUUGCUGUGUAAGAAAUAAUGCCAAAUGCGGAGUUCCCGUCAUAGCUCAGUGGUUAAGAAAUCUGACUAGGAACCAUGAGGUUGCAGGUUUGAUCCCUGGCCUUGCUCAGUGGGUUAAGGAUCCGAUGUUGCCGUGAGCUGUGGUGUAGGUCACAGACAUGGCUCAGAUCCAGUGUUGCUAUGGCUCUGGCAUAGGCUGGCGGCUACAGCUCUGAUUAGACCCCUAGCCUGGGAACCUCCAUAUGCCACGGGUGCGGCCCUAGAAAAGACAAAAAACAAAACAAAACAAAAUGAAAUAAUGCCAAAUUCAGUGGCUACACAUUUCUUAUUACCUACCUACUUAUGUGUCAGCUGGGCGAAUUUGCUCACCUGAGCCAGGCUCAGUUGAACUUCGCUGGACCCAGUCACCUGUCUGUAGUCACCUGGAUGUGACUUGAGAAUGGCUGGUCUUAGAUGGCUUCGCUCCCCUAUCUGGUGGUUGUAUGACUAUUGGCAGGCAUUAUACCCGUGCCUGGAUUAUAGCUGUGCCUGGGUUAUCUGGAUUAUAGCUGUGCCUGGGUUACCUGUCUGCCAGUAUCCAAGCAUGUUGUCACAGGCCUGUACACACAGCAGCAUAACGGCUCCAAGGAGGUGAGUGGAAGCAUGCCCAGCCUCUCAAGGCCUCAGCUCAGAACCAGCAUACCCUCACUUCCCCCACAUUGUAUUGGCCAAAGUAAGACACAAAGCCAGCUCAGAUUCAAGGGAUGAGAAAACAGACUCUACCCAUUGAAAGGAAGAGGUGCAAUGUCACAUGGCAAACCCUCUGGAUCCAGGGAGAGGUGGAGAACUGGGGACAUCUUUGCAGUCAGUCUUCCAUUACCAUCAAUGGAUGGAUCUAUAAGCACAAAAUCCCAAACACAGUUCUGUUGUAAUUAAACCCAUUUAUACAUCCUCAUCCUUCUUUGUACCUAGCUUUGAUCUCUUCCAUGUUUGGCCAUGGCGUGGUCAUCGCAGGACCCAGCUGCAGCUCAAGAAGAGAUGACCUCCUUGCUGCCAAGUAGGUCAUCCAGUUGAAUAGGAUCAAGGGAUGAAUUUCAUCUAUCAUUAGAUGAACUAACCAUGAAUUCAUUGGAUGGUAGUGAAUCAAAUAGGAAUCCAAUAAGUUUCAUUACUGCUUGUAAUAAACAAUCAACAAGCAUUCAAAUCAUCUCCAGUCAAAAAUGCUCACCUGAAAACAGGCCAAGGAUCAAGGGGAAGGGGUUUAAAAGGGGCUUCUAUUUCUGGCCAGCCUCUCUCCUCCAUGUUAAGACUCAAUAAUCGUGUGACUUCAAGAUUUUCUGCAGUCCAUAGAGUUCCUGUUGUGGCUCAGUGGUGGCAAAUCCAACUAGUAUCCAUGAGGAUGAGGGUUCGAUCCCUGGCCUUGCUCAGUGGGUAAAGGAUCCUGUGUUGCCAUGAGCUGUGGUGUAGGUCGCAGACAUGGCUCAGAUCCCACAUUGCUGUAGCUGUGGCAUAGGUCAGCAGCUGUAGCUCCAAUUCAACCCCUAGCCUGGGAACUUCCAUAUGCCAUGGU